GAAAUUGAAAACAGAUUUGCUCUGAAAUGAUUCUUAUUCUAGUCUGUUUCUUAUAAAUAUUGCAGAACUCUCCUUGGUUGAAAUCUAACUUAUCUGCAAUGAAAUGUUGUUGGCAUCUUCAAUGUGAAUACUGGUGUCGCUCGUCCUUGAUUGUAGUAUGGGUGUUAUGUUGCAACUUGUUAAGGACAAGAUGAAAUUACAC
rnacentral:misc_RNA from 1 species